GGGCCCAGGGGGGUGGGUGCUCAGGUGAUGGAGUAUCCCCAGGUGUGCAAUCCCCGGGCCAGGGUGCACGGGGAGGGCCAAGUGUGACAGCUGGGGCCAGGUGUGCACAGAUUGUCAAUUUUGGCAGGUGUGUCAGGUCAACCCAAGUGUCUCAAGUCAACUCAGGUGUGUCAGAUCGAUCCAGGUGUGACAGGUCAACCCAGGGGUGGCAGGUUGACCCAGGUGUGUCAGUCAACCCAGGUGUGUCAACUCAACCCAGAUGUGUCAGGUCAACCCAGGUGUGUCAGUCAACCUAGAUAUGUCAACUCAGCCCACAUGUGUCAGGUCAACCUAGGUGUGUCAACUCAACCCAGAUGUGUCAGUCAACCCAGGUGUGACAGAUCAACCCAGGGGUGGCAGGUCGACCCAGGUGUGUCAGUCAACCCAGAUGUGUCAACUCAGUCCAGAUGUGUCAGGUCAACCUAGGUGUGUCAGUCAACCCAGGUGUGUCAGUCAACCCAGAUGUGUCAACUCAGCCCAGAUGUGUCAGGUCAACCUAGGUGUGUCAACUCAAUCCAGGUGUGUCAGUCAACCCAGGUGUGUCAGUCAACCCAGGUGUGUCAGGUCGACCCAGAUGUGUCAGGUCAACCUAGGUGUGUCAGGUCAACCCAGGUGUGUUAGGUCAACCCAGAUGUGUCAGGUCAACCCAGGAGUGGCAGGUGAACCCAGGUGUAUCAGUCAACCCGGGUGUGACAGAUCAACGCAGGUGUGUCGUAUGACUGGUCAACAUAGCUGUGCCGGUCAACCCAGGUGUGUCAGGUCAACUCAGGUAUUUCAGGUGUAACAGGUCAACCCAAGUGUGUCAGGUCAACCCAGGAGUGGCAG